UUGAUUAUUUUUGCAAAAGGACACCUAUAUGUAAGACAGGGAUGCAUCAGGGAUACUCAGUAACAUUUGACAUGUCUUUCAGUGACAGGAUCCAGAGUUUGUCUUCAGGCAUUUUAGAAGUUCUAGAUUAAGAUUUAUUGACUAAAAUUAAUCUGUCCACAGUGUAGAAGGUACAUUUGAAAGGCCGGUCUGCCUCUUACAGCUCCUGUAAGUACUCUUUGGAUUAGACAGGGGCAAUAAUCAAAAUCUAUGAUUUGAAAAGAAAAAAGCCCUAAAAAGAAAAGUUUGAAUCUGGAGCUCAGUGUGACUAUUUGGCCUUGGUUCUGCAGUCAGAUGCACGCAGGGGAAUCUCGGUGCCCACCCGCUUCCAUCUGCAGAAUCAGAGCUUUAGUAAUAAACAAGGUACAGAAAAGGACGGGGUUCUUUUUCUGUGCGUUUGGGUAUCACUGAGCUGCAAUUAGGUAUGCGGAUUUGUGUUACUAAAACAAUUAAGUGUUUCAAGAUAAUUAGUGCUUUACAAUUAAAUAUUAUUGUAUGUAAUUAUGAAAUAUUUACCAUUUUAUUUCUGCACCUGUAUCCUGCUCUCUAGUCUCAUUAUGUUUUGAUAAAAAACCACUGUGUGCAGUAAGUGAUGUUCUUGGCAGGCACUGCAGGAUUAUGUUGAUUUAAACAUUGAAAAAGGAAACACUUACAAAUGUUGAUAUGUUCUGCUAAAAUGCUUAAAAGAAUAAAAAGCAUAUCACUACACGUGCCCAUAAAAGAGAAGAAAGAUGCACUUGAAAUGUGUAUAACUGGCCACUGGAUGUCAGAAUUGCAGUCUGCUUGAAUUCAGUAAUGGCUGUGACUGGUAGUAGCUGUUAAAAACUUCCUGUCACAGUGUAGGUUAUAUGACUGGGUCAGCAGAGUAAGAGAGAGGUUAUCCUUUUCCACAUUGAUGUAUACUUGAAUUUCUAAGCAUCCCAAUUGUCCUUCAUUUCACUAAGACAGCCCACUUCCACUCUGUUAAAAUGCACUCUUGAAUCAUAGGCUAUCAUCCCAGAAAGAAGGGUGCCUGAUACUUUUCAUUUGUUCUAGUUGUCAUGUGUCAGGAAACAUUAGAAAAUGGACACUUCUCAUUUUCUGCCCCACCCAGUAGAAAUUGCUUGUUGCCGUUUUAUUUCAGUUUGUUGUCCUGUUGGUACAUUAACGCAAAGAUUUAGUGACAUCAAACUGCUUGUGAUUAUUUUAAUCCAAAAAAGAGGGCAAAUAUCUUAGAAUAAUGUGGGGUGAAGAAUUCACAUUUUUAUAUGGAAAAAGGGUCAGAAUGGUGUUAGACCUGAGGAUGGGCAUUUGAUGCCCAAAACCUUGUUCGACCGUGUUUCCAGCUGUACAGUUAGUCAAGUAAAAGAUGUCACAAAACAUCCUUGCUUCUUUGUGGAAAAAUGCACUGCAUAGCAAAUGUUUACACAGUCAUCUCAGAAGUAGGCUCCUUCUACUCUAAACUAGAAACAUCUUGCAGUAAUUACUUUCACAGUCCUUUUGCAGCUCUUAGGUAUUCUAGGCCAGUACAAUCUAUUGGUUGUUAAUUUCUUAGCCUUUUUUUUUCUUAUUCCCCAGAUGUCUUCUGGUGUGAUGUGUACAUUGUACAAGUCGUAUUCUACGUAUACAAUUGGUCAAAUGCUGUGAUGGCUUUCAAGCAGUGUAACCUCAGAUGUUGUGUACUUUGGCUUAGUAAAGAAUACAGAAUUCUUUCUAUAUAUUGGCUGUUUGCUACAUUCAUCAUUGCUGAAGGGUUCUCUCUGAAUGACUCUACAGCAGAACUGAUUUGUUCUGUCAACAGAGAAGAGAAUCUUGCACAGACUCCUGAGUCAUAUACUUACGUAAUUUAAAGGAUAAAAUCUAGUUCCAUGACUCACUUGCAGGAUGGUAUCACGGUCUCAUUCUCACAUAUAUACGCACACACUCACCAGUAACCUUGGAGCAGCAAUCAAUGUUAAUUGCAGUAUGAAUCGUUCCAGUGACACGUUAUUUCAAAAAUGUUCCUCUGCCCAAAUGUCUAUGAAACAAUGAGUUAUGGCUCUAGGUAUGGACUGUGGUCAUGCAGGUGAAGAAAUGCUGUAAUCUCCUCAGUCCUUGUCUAGUAUAUUGUCUCCAACAAAAGCCAGUUCCUGCUGUUCCAGAGAAAGGUGUAGGAAAUCCAGAAAUAGGCAAACUGGAGAUGAUUUGACCCUCACUAUGUUAAGCACACGUGUAUUUGAUUGCCAGACUAUGCAUAUACUUUGCUUUCUCACUAAGUAUACCACUCAUUUUUCCAUUUACUUUCCAGAAAGAAUUGCCACAUUAACCAAAACACUGAUGUUUAAUCCUAAAAUGACCUUUUAUUGGGGAGGGGGGGAAUGGGUACAUGACCCACCUGCCAUCAGCACUUGUUUGCUACAUUACUGGACUUUAUGAAAGAUACCCGCAAUAAUAAGAUCCGUUAAAAAAGAUUAAAUGUAAAAGGGCACCAAUGGAUCAAGAUGUGUCAAUUAUAAGUUAGAUUUAGAAAAUAGAAUGGAACUUUUGAGUCAGUGUCAUGUUUUGAAAUAAUGAGAUAGAAACCAAGAAGAAAAUUCUGCCCUCAGAUAUAUUAACAUAACUCCUAGUGGUUUUAGUGGGAGUUAUUAUGCGCAUCUGAAAGUAAAACUGGGCAGUUUAACUUAGAAGUCUGGAGCUCAAGAGGAAAUUAGGAGAAAGUUCUUUGCACUAAGGAGGAUGAAUAUAUGGACUAUUCCACCAAACAAAGAAACUCUAGCAACUAAAAUAUGGUCAAAAGGUCAUGGACCCUUUCACUGAGGGAAAAACAAAGAAGAUAAACACCAACGAAACAGUAGGCUUACCUUCCUUAUCACACAAAUCUAACUAUAAAAAUCUAGCAUUGAAUCUUACAGACAUUUAUUCUCCGUACCAUUGGGAGGUGGGGAGGUUUACUGGCCCUAAUUCACUGACUGGAAAAUUGAGGCAGAGAACAUGUAAGGGACUUGCCCAAGUUACAUAGCACAAUGUUAACAUAGCUGGAGAGAUGUGUGGGGUGAUGUUAACAUGGUGGUGGAGAUGUGUAAAUAGAGCAGCAUUAAAAUGAGCUAGUGGCUAUGUUGAUCAGGAUGGGACCAGGUUUCUUGAUUCCCACUCCUUUGGGCCAACCAUCUAACAACACCUCUUAGUCUGUCCUAGAAGCCGUUUCAUGAGUCACCAUAGCUAAAUGUUCUAGCACAGGACUGAAUGUCCAGAUAAGCCUCAUUUAUGAGUGACUAAAUGAAAAACAUUACUGCAAGCAGUACUGUUUGCUGUUUGUAAAUUGGCCCUUCCAAAAAUUUCAGUUACAUUUCUAUUUCCUUCUGCAUUCACAAGCAGUUGUUAUGCUGAGCCCACAAUUGACACUGACACAUUUCGCACUUUUCACACUGUUCAUUGCACCUCCCUUACAGCCUGCACUGAGGUGUGUACACAAAGCCAGUCAAGUGUUUAACACUGAUGAGUAUUUAACAUUCUUACAGCAACAUUAAAAACUGCAAAUACCUUUACAGAACCUAAAUUAACCAACAUUUGCUUCAGACAUGCCGCUCAUAUAAAUAUCAAGGCAGUAUCAUCAUAUGCCUUGCACAAAACAAUAUCAUGUAUAUUGUCAAAUAUUCAAGAUAAAAUACACAUUAAUACUGAUAAUUGCUAAAGUGUUUUAAGUUACUUGGAUUAAGAUACUCUUUAACAGUGCAAAUGGAAGUUACAGAAGAUGCUCUGUUUUGAAAUGUCUUCAUCUGAACCCUCAUGUAAUAAGGGGUCAUAUUUUCACCCAAUCAUUCAUUUUUGAAGCUGUCUGCAGCCAUGCACUUGUGUUUGGUCGUGGCUAUAAACUGAUUUCUGUCCCUGGAUUGGGUGAAAAUAGUUGCUUCUGUCUGUGCUCUAAGUAUAAAGUAUGCUUGUGUAUUCUGCAUUUGGAAGAACUGGUCAAUGUGAAGUGUGGAUCUAGAUCUAGACUCAUAUUUCCUCAGAGUUUCAGGCAGCAGAACUGGGAUUUUCAUUCAGCUGGUUAUGAACACAGAGCUAAAAGCGAAAUUCAGGUUUGGAUAUGAACUUUUGUAGUGCUCUGGGAAAUCUGAAUCCAGGAAGCUGGUCCAAGCCUGUCUUUAGUGUCUGGAAAGCAUUUAAUCACAUCAAAAUGCUAUGUCCCUAAUGGUCAGGGCCAGCUACUACAGCAGAUGUGCAUACAUUACUUUCAUCCCCUUGCAUCCCAUAAAAACCGUGCUCCAUGGAAAUGGUUUGGACAUAUAACAAGAAGGCCCAGCACCCUUGCCAUUGCCAACACCAUCUUGCAGGGUGCUGUGGAUGGACAAAGAGGAGGAGAAAGACCUAGGACAAGCUGAACCACCAAGAUCAAAGACUGGAUAGGAGGAAAACUGACUUACUGUACAAGGAUUGCAGGAAGAAUGGAGGAAAGUCAUUGCUACAUCAAAGAUGCCUCAAUGAUUGGUGUGGCCUUGGGACUGACUGACUGACUGCCUGCAUCCCAUAAACUUUGUGCUUUAUAUUUUUUAAGGAGCUGGCUAGAAGAUACAGGUGAUUGUGACGUAUGCUUCGUUCUUAUAGCUGAAUCAGUCUCCUCUACACAUGAUUGUGAUAAUCAUAAUUGUGUUUCAUGUCUAGUUUAUUACAUCACCCAAGAAAAAACACCCUUUGCUUAUGUGUGUGUGUCUUUCCUUUCUUCCUAUUGGGCCAAAACCAGGUCUUGCUGAAGGUGAUGACCAAACUGCCACUGACUUAAACAAGACCAAAAUACUAUGAGUUACUCAGGACAUCAGUAUGCUAAUCAACAGUAUAGUAACCUUGAUAAUAUCUUGUAUAAGGAACAAAAAAGUGCAGUUCAGUGGAGUGGUAACAUGUUUGAUGAGUUCAUAGAAUCAUAGAAUAUGUUUGAAAGGACAAAACAAUCCUGCAGCUAAGGUUUUGUGUUGUGAAAUUAUGGAUAGAGUUCUUUGGGAACCUUUGUCAAAGGAAAGGUGCUGUUUAAGUUCAAGUUGUGUUGAUAUAUCAGUGGGAGAAUUAGUUUGCUCUCUCACCUUCCUUUGACCAUGUUUAACUUACGUAACAGCCUGUUAUGGUGCUGACAAGGUAAGAUUUCCAGCAGUGGUAAAUUCCUUUUGCAGUGCCUCAUAACACCCACAUUCUUUCACCAUCUGACAUGUUCAUCUUAUUUUCAU